AAGUCGUAACAAGGUUUCCGUAGGUGAACCUGCGGAAGGAUCAUUAACGUAGUUUUGAUUUGGGAGAGGAGUUCUUUUACUUCUCUUUUCCAUUUCUUCACCACAUGUUGUGCUCUUAAAAGAUUGUCUUUGGUGGUUAAACUCAUUUGUUUGAGGCACCCGUUCUGGUUACCCAGAACCAACUCGUUGUUUUUUUUUUUUAUCUUCUUUUUGCAUGUCAUUCAUGUCAUUAAGAGAGCAAAAAAAAACGACAAGUACAAAAGAAGUUGGAGGCUUGUUCCUUGAAUUUGUUUUUGUUACUUGGAAGAGGGGCCACCGCUUUUUUUAAACAACUUUUUUUUGUCUGUAUAUAUCUUUAUUCUGUUGAAAUAUUCAAAACAUUUUAACAAGAAACAACUUUUGACAACGGAUCUCUUGGCUCUC
rnacentral:misc_RNA from 1 species